rnacentral:tRNA from 1 species
GUAUUAUGUAGCUUAAUAACAAAGCAUAGUGCUGAAGCCACUAAAAUGAAUAUAUACAAAACAUCAUUGCA